UACGAAGGGGGCUAGCGUUGCUCGGAAUCAUUGGGCGUAAAGCGCGUGUAGGCGGUUCGGUAAGUCCGCUGUGAAAGUCGGGGGCUCAACCCUCGGAUGCCGGUGGAUACUGUCGGACUAGAGUACGGAAGAGGCGAGUGGAAUUCCUGGUGUAGCGGUGAAAUGCGUAGAUAUCUGGAGGAACACCGGUGGCGAAGGCGGCAUCCUGGACCGAGAUUGACGCUGAGGCGCGAAAGCUAGGGGAGCAAACGGG
rnacentral:rRNA from 1 species